CAUGUUGAAGACGGGAGACAUCAGAUAGUUUCCUGUGUAAAAGGUCAAACAAAAUACCUCUUGGGUCACAUUCAGCCCACCAGUUCGGAAGUCUGGUGGAGCAAGAGAAAAGGAGUCAAGGAGAACAUCCUGAAAGACAGUCAAGGGAACAGGGGCAGCAAGAACAGAGCUGAGGAGGAGGAACCAGCAGAGUAGUGUGGUGAACAGCAAGAGAGACUUUCAAGGAAGGAAUCUGCUAAAAUCUACAAACUGCCAUGCUGACAAUAGGCAAGAAACAGAAAAGCAUCUGGAAAGCAAUGACAUAAGAAUUCAU